rnacentral:rRNA from 1 species
AUGCCGCCGACGUGCCGGUGCCUGGACGAGGUGGAGGAGUGCGCCGCCGCGUGCAAGCGCUGCGAGCCGUCCGGAUUCAACCCGGCCUUCCACGUCUGCAACGACCAGUACCACGGCGACCCAGGCCCGACGUGCGCCAAGGAGGAGAGGCCGUGGACGUGCUGCGACCGGACAGUGUGCACCAAGUCGUUCCCGCCGACGUGCCGCUGCCUGGACGAGGUGGCGGAGUGCGCCCCCACAUGCAAGCGCUGUGAGCCGUUCGGGAUCAACCCCAACCGCCACGUCUGCAACGACCAGUACCACGGCGAUCCCGGGCCCAAGUGCGGCAAGGACGACGACGACGACGACACCAGCGGCUCUCCAUCCCUCGCCGCCGCCACACAGAUGCAGUUGCUUGCUGCUGGUUUCUCUCAUCUUGUUGUUUAUCCAGAGUCCUUAGAUGUCUGCGUGUACUAG